CCUACGGGUGGCAGCAGUGAGGAAUAUUGGUCAAUGGGCGAGAGCCUGAACCAGCCAAGCCGCGUGAAGGAAGAAGGCGCCAAGCGUCGUAAACUUCUUUUGUCGGGGAACAAAGGGCGCCACGUGUGGCGUUGUGAGUGUACCCGAAGAAAAAGCAUCGGCUCACUCCGUUCCAGCCGCCGCGGUAAUACAGAGGAUGCGAGCGUUAUCCGGAGUUAUUGGGUUUAACGGGUGCGUAGGCGGUCCGGAAAGUCAGCGGGAAAAGCCCGGGGCUCAACCCCGGCGAGCCGUUGAAACUGUCGGACUAGAGAAGGCGAGAAGUAAGCGGAAUGCGCGGUGUAGCGGUGAAAUGCAUAGAUAUCGUGCAGAACUCCGAUUGCGAAGGCAGCGUACCGGCGUCUGACUGACGCUGAGGCACGAAAGCGUGGGUAUCGAACAGGAUUAGAUACCCUGGUAGUC
rnacentral:rRNA from 1 species